rnacentral:rRNA from 1 species
UACGUAGGGUGCAAGCGUUAAUCGGAAUUACUGGGCGUAAAGCGUGCGCAGGCGGUUUUGUAAGUCUGACGUGAAAUCCCCGGGCUCAACCUGGGAAUUGCGUGGAGACUGCAAGGCUAGAAUCUGGCAGAGGGGGGGUAGAAUUCCACGUGUAGCAGUGAAAUGCGUAGAGAUGUGGAGGAACACCGGAUGGCGAAGGCA